rnacentral:Y_RNA from 1 species
GGCUGGUCCAAAGGUAGUGAGUUGUCUCACUUGAUUGUUCACAGUCAGUUACAGAUUGAACUCCUUGUUCUACUACUUUCCCCCUUCUCAGUACUGCACUUGACUAGUCUUAA